rnacentral:rRNA from 1 species
CCUACGGGUGGCUGCAGUGGGGAAUAUUGGACAAUGGGGGCAACCCUGAUCCAGCCAUGCCGCGUGUGUGAAGAAGGCCCUCGGGUGGUAAAGCACUUUCAGUGAGGAAGAACGCCUGGUGGUUAAUACCCAUCAGGAAAGACAUCACUCACAGAAGAAGCACCGGCUAACUCCGUGCCAGCAGCCGCGGUAAUACGGAGGGUGCGAGCGUUAAUCGGAAUUACUGGGCGUAAAGCGCGCGUAGGUGGCUUGAUAAGCCGGUUGUGAAAGCCCCGGGCUCAACCUGGGAACGGCAUCCGGAACUGUCAAGCUAGAGUGCAGGAGAGGAAGGUAGAAUUCCCGGUGUAGCGGUGAAAUGCGUAGAGAUCGGGAGGAAUACCAGUGGCGAAGGCGGCCUUCUGGACUGACACUGACACUGAGGUGCGAAAGCGUGGGUAGCAAACAGGAUUAGAUACCCCGGUAGUC